rnacentral:rRNA from 1 species
GACGAACGCUGGCGGCGUGCCUAAUACAUGCAAGUCGAACGCAUUUUCUUUCACCGUAGCUUGCUACACCGAAAGAAAAUGAGUGGCGAACGGGUGAGUAACACGUGGGUAACCUGCCCAUCAGCGGGGGAUAACACUUGGAAACAGGUGCUAAUACCGCAAAAUUCCAUUUACCGCAUGGUAGAUGGGUGAAAGGCGCUUUUGCGUCACUGAUGGAUGGACCCGCGGUGCAUUAGCUAGUUGGUGGGGUAACGGCCUACCAAGGCUGCGAUGCAUAGCCGACCUGAGAGGGUGAUCGGCCACACUGGGACUGAGACACGGCCCAGACUCCUACGGGAGGCAGCAGUAGGGAAUCUUCGGCAAUGGACGCAAGUCUGACCGAGCAACGCCGCGUGAGUGAAGAAGGUUUUCGGAUCGUAAAACUCUGUUGUUAGAAAAGAACAAGGAUGAGAGCGGAAAGUUCAUCCCUUGACGGUAUCUAACCAGAAAGCCACGGCUAACU